rnacentral:tRNA from 1 species
AAUGAUGUGCCUGAAAUAAAAGGACUAUUUUGAUAGAAUAAAACAUGUUUAAAAACCUUCAUUU